rnacentral:rRNA from 1 species
GACGACCGCUGGCGGCGUGCUUAACACAUGCAAGUCGAACGAAGUGGCGAACGGGUGAGUAACGCAUAAUCAACCUGCCCUUCAGAGGGGGACAACAGUUGGAACCGACUGCUAAUACCGCAUACUGAUGGAGUGGUUUGCGUCUGCUGAGCUAGUUGGAGGGGUAACGGCCCACCAAGGCGAUGAUCAGUAGCCGGGCUGAUAGGAUGAACGGCCAAAUUGGGACGUAGAAACGGCCCAGACUCCGACGGGAGGCAGAAGUGGGGAAGCUUCCGAAAUGGACGAAAGUCUGACGGAGCAACGCCGCGUGAGUGAUGACGGCCUUCGGGUUGUAAAGCUCUGUUAAUCGGGACGCGGUACCGGAAUAGAAAGCCACGGCUAACUACGUGCCAGCAGCCGCGGUAAUAC